UACGUAGGGUGCAAGCGUUAAUCGGAAUACUGGGCGUAAAGCGUGCGCAGGCGGUGAUGUAAGACAGGUGUGAAAUCCCCGGGCUCAACCUGGGAACUGCAUUUGUGACUGCAUAGCUAGAGUACGGUAGAGGGGGAUGGAAUUCCGCGUGUAGCAGUGAAAAUGCGUAGAUAUGCGGAGGAACACCGAUGGCGAAGGCAAUCCCCUGGACCUGUACUGACGCUCAUGCACGAAAGCGUGGGGAGCAAACAGG
rnacentral:rRNA from 1 species